UACGUAGGGGGCAAGCGUUAUCCGGAUUUACUGGGUGUAAAGGGAGCGUAGACGGCACGGCAAGCCAGAUGUGAAAGCCCGGGGCUCAACCCCGGGAUUGCAUUUGGAACUGCUGAGCUAGAGUGUCGGAGAGGCAAGUGGAAUUCCUAGUGUAGCGGUGAAAUGCGUAGAUAUUAGGAGGAACACCAGUGGCGAAGGCGGCUUGCUGGACGAUGACUGACGUUGAGGCUCGAAAGCGUGGGGAGCAAACAGG
rnacentral:rRNA from 1 species